ensembl:processed_transcript
CGGUCUAGAGAGGACAGCGGGCCGCAGCUUUAGUCCUGGUUGUGGAGUGAGAUGCUGAGAUGGGUCUGGAGGGAUGCAGGAUGUUCUAGUCCCAGUUAGGAUGGUAAAUAGGGACCUCGCUCCGCGAGGGAUGCUGAACGGGGUCUGGAAGAAUGCAAGAUGUCCUGGUCCGGGCCAGGAAUGGUGUGAUGUGCAUGCUUUUAAUCCCAGCACUCAGGAGGCAGAGGCAAGUGGAUCUCUGUGAGUUCUUGGCCAACCUGGUUUAUAUGCUGGGUGUCAGAUCCCUGGGAGGAUAUGAGAGAAUGUUUCCAGAAAGACCGAACUAAAAAGGAACGUCCAACCCUGAACGUGGAGGACAUCCUCCUCUGGGCUGGGCUCCCAGACUGAGUAAUAAGAAAAUAAGUUGAGCUCGCUCCCCCCCACCCCCACUGUAGAUACAGUGUGACCAAUUACCAGCUGACCCCCUGUUGCGGUGACUUUUUUUUUUUUUCCUUCCCUACCACUAUGAACUGUUCACUCUUAAGCUGAGAGCUAAA